GUGCCCAUUUUGGCAGUUCAUAUACUAAAACUGGAACAAUACAGAGAACAUUUGCAUGGCCCUGUGCAAAGAUUUAGUUAAAUACUGUGUGAAACUUAAUUCUUAA